ACACCAAACACGCUCGCCGCGUUGACUAGCUGCUUUCCCUUUAGUGUAUCACUUAUUAAAUUAGGGACGGUUAGCGCAAAUAACCCUCGUGUAUUUUUGCGCGAAAUUGAAACCAAGCUAUUUUUAGUGGAACGUGGUUUACUAAUGCUACUGUUGUUAUCAGAAAUCUCGGAAUACUAUCUCGUUUUUCGUCCUAGCUUUGUAAGAAAUAUUUUAAGAGAUUCCUAAACACAGAAUAGCUGAAUCAUAAAUCUAAUGUUAUUAGUGAUUAUUGAUCACAGAACUGCUUAAUCGCAACUCAUGGCCAUCAUCGGAAAACAAAACGGAUAAGACAUGUUGCUCGGAGAAUAUCCGUGGUUGCUUCUUCAAAAUAACAAGAACAUAAAGCUUUGCUAGGAUUGGAAGUAACUCGGCUGUUAGUAUAUCCUGUUCCACUACCGCCCCGGAAUGUAACUGCAUCUACUCCCCCUUGGGCCAUUAUUAGUCUCAAAGGUUUCGUCUCGUUUCUUGCAACGACAACUGUUUUGCAUGAUUCACUGGAAUCUUGGAACUAAUCUACAAGUUAAGGACAAGGUGUGCUAAUAGAAAACAUGUCUUCCAAAAACCCAUUUAACAUUAAAGUCGACCCAACCAGAGAAGUAGCUCCAGUAAACAGGAAGGACAGGAAACCACUACCUAGUUCUGGCUCUAAACCUACGCAAGCUCCAAAAGUUAAUAAUCCUCCAAAAUUACCUGAACCGUCUCCUCAAUCCACCCCCUCGCCACUGACCUUCAAAAAAUAAUCCCAAUAGUGUGUGGGAAACUCCAGUUUAAAUCAGCCGAAAAUCUGUGUAUCCGGAACAACGAAUCUACUAACUUCAUGAAAAACCACUUAUCCUGAAAUAAGAAAUCCAGUUUUUACAAGCUUUUUGGAGGACAUAAGUUUUAUAGUGUUUUCUGUUGGAUAUAUUAAAGUAUUUCAUGAGCACAUAUAUAUAUAUAUACACACUAUAUUUUCUUCAUUUCAUUCAUAUUAGUUUUUCGUAAGCGUUGUAUCUUAAUAAAUCUAGAAAUUAUUAUUCC